rnacentral:rRNA from 1 species
AUACGGAGGGUGCGAGCGUUGUUCGGAAUUACUGGGCGUAAAGGGCGCGCAGGCGGCUUGAUAAGUCAGAUGUGAAAGCCCACGGCUCAACCGUGGAAGUGCAUCUGAAACUGUCUGGCUUGAGUACUGGAGAGGAAAGUGGAAUUCCUGGUGUAGAGGUGAAAUUCGUAGAUAUCAGGAGGGACACCGGUGGCGAAGGCGACUUUCUGGACAGAUACUGACGCUGAGGCGCGAAAGCGUGGGGAGCAAACAGGAUUAGAAACCCGAGUAGUCC